rnacentral:piRNA from 1 species
UGCCACAUGAAACCNCCUAUCUGUGCAGCA